GGGCUCAUAGGUAAAUGGUAUACCAGUACUCUCGCACAGUACAAUUUCGAGUUCGAUUCUCGGUGAGUCCA
rnacentral:tRNA from 1 species